AUCAACUUGUCUCACAAUAUUGUCAGAUAGAUGCAAAAUUAUAUAACUGUAAGCAAUUUCAUUCAUAUCUUCAAUUUCAGUUGUUUUAGCUUUUAACUCAUCAGAAAAUGUAGCGGGAUCAUCAAGAGCUUUAGCAAUUCUCUGUUGGACCAAAAUGGCCCUCAUUUUCUGUUUCCAUAUCGAGUAAUCCCCCUUUCCAUCGAAUUGCGAUAAUUCGACCCUCAAACCUAUUAUAGAUUCUAUAAAAGAGUGGCCUGUACUCGUGGACACAACAAAAAAGGUUUUGAAAAAUUCUUUUCCAGAUGAUCAAUAUAAAACUGAGUACCGAGUUUAAAAAAAAACAAUUUUUAGAAAUGAAGCACAACAGUGAAAUAAUCCGUUCACGAAACACAGGUAUAUAAAGCAGGUAAAUAUGCUUCCAGGUUACAAAUUAAUCACAAGAA